GGGAAUGUAGCUCAAUGGUGAAGUGCAGGCCUAGCAUGCAGGAGACCCUGGGUUCAAUCCCCAGUAGUCCUA
rnacentral:tRNA from 1 species